rnacentral:lncRNA from 1 species
CGGAGACGCAGUAACUGUGGCAGGCGUUUGUAAUCUCGGUUCUCAGGGAGGCUGAAGGAUCGCAAAUUUGAACCCAGUUCGGGCAAUUUAGUGACUUGAGGAAACCCUGUCUCAAAAAUUUUUUUAAAAAAUGGGCCGUGGAUGUAGCGCAGUGCGAAGGCGUUGGGUUCAAUCACCAUCAUCAUUAAAAAGAAAAAGACGUGAUUUUAAAAGUGCUGUUCGACAUGUGACGGUGGGCUCUGUCACUCAGUGGUUAUUCCACUCUGCCUCUCAAGUACAAGGACCCGAGUUCGAUCCUUGGUACCAAAAAAGAAAAAAAGAGGCCAAAGAAAUGCAUCAUAUAGGUAAACUCACUUGCUAUGACACUGAAAAGACCACACCCAUCUUGGACCACAUAUAUAAUGAAAACUGAAACCUUUUCUUCGAUCAUCGC